rnacentral:rRNA from 1 species
UACAGAGCGCACGGGUGUUAUUCGUUUUGAUUGGGUGUAAAGGGUGCGUAGGCGGGUCUUUAAGUCAGGGGGGAAAUCCUGGAGCUCAACUCCAGAACUGCCUUUGAUACUGAAGAUCUUGAGUUCGGGAGAGGUGAGUGGAACUGCGAGUGUAGAGGUGAAAUUCGUAGAUAUUCGCAAGAACACCAGUGGCGAAGGCGGCUCACUGGCCCGAUACUGACGCUGAGGCACGAAAGCGUGGGGAGCAAACAGG